GAUGAACGCUGGCGGCGUGCUUAACACAUGCAAGUCGAACGAAGAUGCCGGAGUGCUUGCACUUUGGCAGACUGAGUGGCGGACGGGUGAGUAACGCGUGGGUAACCUGCCUUAUACAGGGGGAUAACAGUUGGAAACGACUGCUAAUACCGCAUAAGCGCACAGCUUCGCAUGAAGCAGUGUGAAAAACUCCGGUGGUACAAGAUGGACCCGCGUCUGAUUAGCUGGGUUGGGUGAGGUUAAACGGGCCCCACCAAGGCGACGAUCAGUAGCCGGCCUGAGAGGGUGAACGGCCACAUUGGGACUGAGACACGGCCCAAACUCCUACGGGAGGCAGCAGUGGGGAAUAUUGCACAAUGGGGGAAACCCUGAUGCAGCAACGCCGCGUGAGUGAAGAAGUAUUUCGGUAUGUAAAGCUCUAUCAGCAGGAAAGAAAAUGACGGUACCUGACUAAGAAGCCCCGGCUAACUACGUG
rnacentral:rRNA from 1 species